CAAGCUACGCCUAUGUUUAUAAUGACAUGAAAAGGAUGAGUAUAUGCAUCUCUCUUCAUAUUAAAAGAGUGAUGACGUAAUUUACCUGAAUUUUGUUAUUUACCGCGAUCCUGACCUUGGGUGUGUAUGUCCUUGAAAGCAUCUCAAAAAGCAAAGCAUUUAUCAUCUAAUUUAUCUAAUCUAACAUACAUGUAGUUCUAUAUCGAAAUAUUGAAAUCUAUAAAAAAAAAUCUAUCAUCUCAAUUCUAACAUAGCUCCAGAUUGAAAUUUAUAGAAUGAAAUUCUGAGCCUGAUGAUGUUUAAGAACGAAAUUCUGAGCCUGGUGAAGUUGAAGUGUGAAUUUCUGAACCUAAUGAAGUUUAGAUAUGAAUUUCUGAGUCUGAUGAUGUAUCACCCCCGCACGUGCCGACUCCCAGACGAGCAAGUUUAAAUAUAACACAGGGAUGUCCCUAAAAAGUUCCCCCAAAGUGAACGUAAAAAUCCCAACCUGUGGGUGUUCAUUACUAUUUCCAAAUUUCUUCCCUGUAAAUAUUCGUUUAACACAGUAGACGGUGAUCGACAUCUAAUAACAACGUUGAAAGGUUAACGGCGCAAGCUGUCUUUAACUUUUAAAUUCAAAAUGUCGAAAUGAAAGCUCUAAUGCUGCUCCUGUCAGAAUGACGACGGACUUUCAAAGAGAUCGCAAAUACAACACACAAAUUCCAAGUGUUGACAAAGUGCUGAGUGUCUUCAUAACCUAAACUUUAAACUCUUCAUGACAACAGAAUAUUCAGAAUUCAUCAAUGAUAAAGAAUAACUGUUAUAUGCGUUUCUUUCCUAAAGUUAUCCCCGGUCUCCUUCCUGUAGUACACGGGUAAACAACUUUAUAGACAGAUCUUCUUACGCUUGUAUUCCGAACAGGCACCUCAUGCCUCCCCGUAGUAGCAAUGUCUUAAAUAAAACUAACGACACGCGGCAAUGUCUGUGUGAAAAAGAACAGACAAUUAAUUGAGAAAUACUACAAUAUGUUUUAAAGAGGAAAUUAUUUUCCAUGAAGGGGCUUUCUUGGGAAUUCGGCUAAGUAGAGGUUACAUCUUCGCAUUCCUUCGGUGUGAUUUUACACGCGUGGGGAUUACCCCCUCUCUCUGAUUGCGUUUGACACUCACAAUUACAAAUGUGAAAGAAUUAUGGAUAGCAGCAGUGCUCAGAAUCUUACGAGAUGGGGAUGCUAGGUAUUUCAAACCCGACUUUCUGAAGAAUUAGUCGCUACAUUUACAUCUGCCGUUAGAGAUUUAAUGGCGAACACACACAUUUGAUCAGAGUGACACAAUGUUAGCUUCACUGUCAGCACGCGUCUAGACGCAAACAUCAAAGAACUCUCAGGCAUCACGCGCGUUUUCCAUCACGGCAGCGUUCGCCGGUAUCGGAGUGGAUUUUGAUAAGUUAGUACAAUCAAACAUUAAAUUGCAUCAACCCAAUACAAAUUGAAAAGUAAGUUUGAAUGAUAUAUUUUACUUAUGUUUUGUUAGUUUCAGUAUAUUUUGUUUCUCAAUGAAAAGCAAUGUGCUGUUCAAGUGACUGAAUUAUUGUGUGUAAGCAGUAGCGGAUUUAGAAGAGGGACAAUUUUUCGCAACAAAUGAGUAAAAUUCCAGAUUUGGCACCCCAAAUGGCUAAGAAUUUUGCCCCCCUCCCCCUUUAUUUGAAGAGUAUACCUUUAAAGGUAGAAGUACCCCCUUUUCCUCCGGAAAUCCCGGAUCCGCCACUGAUAAGGAAUAAAAAUAUAAAACAUUGAUAUUCAUGCCUGAAAUGAAACUAAAUGAUUCGCUCCAUAAGCAUAAUAUAUGCAUGAAAGACUUGAUAUUGAUUAUAAAUAAAUAAUAAUAAUAAUAACACGCUUAAUAUCAUGUGCUUACAGUUAUGAUUUAUACAACUUUAAAACUCGAGAAAAUACUAAUCUCUAAAGAAGAAAAAAUAAACUCCAAUUAAUCCUUGGAAUUUAUUUAAGGAUUUUCUAUUUUCAGUUGUUUUCGGUUUUAGCCAGUCAUGUCGAAUUAACAUACUGACGAUCCAUCCUUUUCAGAUUCACUAUAAACGUCAUCAGAGCCCUACUUAGAUUGGUCCAUCCCUGUGUAAUCGAGUUCACUGGGUUUAAGUUUCACAAUAAUUGGUAAAUUAUAACAAGAACCAAAAUAGUAUACAAUACAGUCAAUAUAUAAACGAACCCGAUAGCCUUUCCUGCAGCCUCUAUACUUCACCAUUAUAAAUUUCUGUCAUAUUACCCACCAAUAUAAAUAUUAGUGAAUAUCGAACCUGUUUCAGAUUAUUUGCUAUUAGUAAUUUUGAUACGAGAUCAGGUGCCCGAUUAGCCCAAAAAUGUUUUUAUCAAAGGAAAAAUCUCAUUAUUUCAUACCAAAGGGGACCAACAUAGGCAAUGCUACACAAGCAGGGUGCUGAAAAAUAAUCACGUUAUUUUUAAUGGGGUUUUUUUUUUUUUGUAUGUUAUUUUACGUCUUAUUUUAGAAUAUUUUACACAUUAUCAAAACGUCAGGUGAAGUACAACAAAUUUUUACCUGUGCGUCCCGUAGCAAUGAAGGUUCUUUAACGUGUCAAUGUCUACUGUAACACGUGACUUCCGUCCGAAAGACCCGUGACUUUCACAUUUACCGCCGGAACGGUCCAUACGUACUGUCUAAUUAAUUCAACAUUGACCACUUUACAUAGGGGUAGCUUGGGUUCGAAUAUUACCGAGGCAGGGGCUGCGCCCCCCAGAAGCUAUCGACAUUUUAACAACGUAAAAGGUGUUUUUUUUUUUUUACCGAGGCAGCUGCCUCGGUUGCCUCAAUGGAAGCUACGCCACUGCUUUAGGUAAUACGCAUACAUGCCAACUUUCCCGAUUUAGGCGGGAUCUUCCCGAUUUUACCCUCCGGUCCCGCUUUCCCGAUCGGGAAAGCAAAAUUACCCUAAAAUCCCGAUUUGAAAUUUUUUCCGACCAAAAUUUCCGAUUUCACGAUUGAAAACGAGUUUGAAAGCGGGAUAAUCGUGAAAUCUCGUGACCAGAAUUGGAAAUCCCGCGUCAUUUCUGAACUGGCCAAUCAGAAAUCGGGACAAUAGUCAGCCAUUGCUGUUUACCUGUGUCGCAUGGUGUCGGGUUGGUCUGCCUGUGUCGGGGUGUUUAUUGGACAGUACGAAGCAUGUUUUGAUAGUAAUUAAUCGGGAAGACGGAUUUCAAAUUGACCUAUCCUUUACACAAACGUGAAUGACAACGAUGCUAGUGUCACCACCAAACAAUCGGACAUUCCGCCUCUUGCUGACAGCAUCCAAAAUUUGCAAUAAGAUGUCAUGGGUGCAAAGGUUUUGUUCGCAAACUUCAUAGCAGGGCAGAUCACUCCUUUUUUUUGGUUGCAAUGCAGAUUAUUCCACCAGUCUCUGCAAGCCCAUGUUUACAGACAAGCAAGAUCGCCUUUGCAGUCGUACCUAAAUGCAUGUGCUUUAAUUUUUUGAUAUAUAGACCGACCAAUGUUUAUUGUAUGAUGUAAAAGAAUGCAACCUUAAAUAUUAUUUGAUAUUAUGUAUGUGACUUGUUGGAGAAGAUUUUUUGCUGAAUAGAUGAUUUUAAUAAAAUAUUAAUGUAUAUCUUUCAAAGUUUUUUUUAUAUAGUUAAUGGUCAAACACAUUUGAUGUUGUGUUAAUAUAUGAUACAUUAACAAUGAUUUGAUUGAUAUUUUAUUUGAAAGGACAAAUAUUUAUUUUCAUGCUAAAAUGUCGUGAAUUUUGAGCUUUGAAAAAAGGUCGUCGCGCGCUAAAUCCCCCAUGGGGAUUUUUAAAAGUUGGCAUGUAUGAAUACGUGCAUAUUUUGGAAUAUAAUGAAAAGUAAAUGACAAUUGCUCAUGAAAGUUCUUGGUGAAAAGGUGCAAAAACAAUUAUUUAUGAUUUAUAAAGAAAACUGAUAGUCACCGAACAAAAUCUGAUGAAAUUUGAUUUUUAGGAUAUUUUUAGCAAGAGGAGAUAUCUAAAAAUAACUACAUUGAACUAACUCUCUCUCUCUCUCUAACUCUCUCUCUCUCUCUCUCUCUCAGAAAUGUAUAUAUAGAGUACAACUAGAAUGUGGAAAACUGGACUAUUACGUACAUGGGACAUCAUUUUCACUGAAAUUCCCUUGAUAAUUAGUAAGAGAUACAAUUCUGAAGUGAUUUUCAUCGGAAAAAUAAACUCAUAAGAAGGCAUGAAAAGUGACAAGAUAUUGCAUUGAUUGAAAAGCUAGAUAACAACAAAACGUUUUUAAUUAGCUAACUCCACAAAAGUAGGGAUAAACCAGGACCGUGUAUAUCAUCGUCCCAUUUUAUAGAUACAUCUGUUUAUCGUAUUGUGUAGUUCUGUUUAAUUGUAUACAAUACUCAUGUAAGCUGUCUUGAAUAUAUAACAUCUGUAUAUGGUAUGCAUGUGUGGUAUCAUGUAUUUAUUUUUGUGUAUACUAUAAAGAAGCACUUAGGGUACAAGACUGCCAGUCUGAUAGACUUGGCCCAGGCACCGUCCCUUGGUACCCUCUGUGCUUGUGACAACAUUUUAUAAUAUUGUUUUACUUUACUUCCCAUAUAGCACACUUAUUGUACAGUACAUUUCCAAUCAGUAUUGUGAUGAGAAUUCAAUACCUAUGUCAAUGUAGAAACCCUUAACGUGUAUAUGGUACACAUGUGUAAAUUGUAUCAUGUAGUUAUAAUGUUUAAUUGUUAAUUUGUUUAUGCCCCCUGAGGGCCCUUGAUUGGUGAAUAAAUAAAUAUUAUAUCAUAUUAUAUU